UGCCAGCAGCCGCGGUAAUACGUAGGUGGCAAGCGUUAUCCGGAAUUAUUGGGCGUAAAGCGCGCGUAGGCGGUUUUUAAGUCUGAUGUGAAAGCCCACGGCUCAACCGUGGAGGGUCAUUGGAAACUGGAAAACUUGAGUGCAGAAGAGGAAAGUGGAAUUCCAUGUGUAGCGGUGAAAUGCGCAGAGAUAUGGAGGAACACCAGUGGCGAAGGCGACUUUCUGGUCUGUAACUGACGCUGAUGUGCGAAAGCGUGGGGAUCAAACAGGAUUAGAUAC
rnacentral:rRNA from 1 species